rnacentral:rRNA from 1 species
GACGAACGCUGGCGGCGUGCUUAACACAUGCAAGUCGAACGGAAAGGCCCUGCUUUUGUGGGGUGCUCGAGUGGCGAACGGGUGAGUAACACGUGAGUAACCUGCCCUUGACUUUGGGAUAACUUCAGGAAACUGGGGCUAAUACCGGAUAGGAGCUCCUGCUGCAUGGUGGGGGUUGGAAAGUUUCGGCGGUUGGGGAUGGACUCGCGGCUUAUCAGCUUGUUGGUGGGGUAGUGGCUUACCAAGGCUUUGACGGGUAGCCGGCCUGAGAGGGUGACCGGCCACAUUGGGACUGAGAUACGGCCCAGACUGCUACGGGAGGCAGCAGGGGGGAAUAUUGCACAAUGGGCGGAAGCCUGAUGCAGCAACGCCGCGUGCGGGAUGACGGCCUUCGGGUUGUAAACCGCUUUCGCCUGUGACGAAGCGGGAGUGACGGUAAUGGGUAAAGAAGCACCGGCUAACUACGUG